GGAAGGGAGAGGUGUGGGGAGCUCUGCUUCAGCUGUGGGGCCUCAGGAGGCAGGACUCAGGGAUGACCUCCACCAUGGCCUGGGCCCCUCUCCUCCUCACCCUCCUGGCUCACUGCACAGGAUCCUGGGCCCAGUCUGUGCUGACUCAGCCAUCCUCAGUGUCGGGGUCCCCGGGCCAGAAGGUCACCAUCUCCUGCACUGGAAGCAGCUCCAACAUUGGGAGUAAUAGUGUGUACUGGCACCAACAGCUCCCAGGAAAGGCCCCCAAAUGCAUCAUCUAUGGUAGUAGCAGUAGACCCUCAGGGGUUCCGGACCGAUUCUCUGGCUCCAAGUCUGGCAGCUCAGCCACCCUGACCAUCACGGGGCUGCAGGCUGAAGAUGAGGCCGACUAUUACUGCUCAUCAUGGGACGACAGACUAUUACUGCUUAGCAUGGGACGACAGUCUCAAUGCUCACACAGUGCUGCAGGCCUGUGGGGAAGUGAGACAAAAACCCCUCUGGUCUGUGAGGGG